GAAAGAUCAUGAGAUGUUUUGUCGCCCCAGAUUUGCGCAUCAAAAAAUUGAUGCUUGGUGGUGAUUGACUCUCUUUCUUAUUC
rnacentral:snoRNA from 1 species